rnacentral:rRNA from 1 species
CAGCACCCCGAGUAGUCGGGACGAUUAUUGGGCCUAAAGCAUCCGUAGCCUGUUCUGCAAGUCCUCCGUUAAAUCCACCCGCUCAACGGAUGGGCUGCGGGGGAUACUGCAGAGCUAGGAGGCGGGAGAGGCAAACGGUACUCAGUGGGUAGGGGUAAAAUCCAUUGAUCUACUGAAGACCACCAGUGGCGAAGGCGGUUUGCCAGAACGCGCUCGACGGUGAGGGAUGAAAGCUGGGGGAGCAAACCGGAUUAGAUACCCGGGUAGUCCCAGCUGUAAACGAUGCAGACUCGGUGAUGGGUUGGCCUCGAGCCAACCCAGUGCCGCAGGGAAGCCGUUAAGUCUGCCGCCUGGGGAGUACGGUCGCAAGACUGAA